ACUGAAAUGGUCUUUUUCUCUUCAGACAGCAUUGAGGACUACAUCCAGACCACAUCCUCCAACGUGGAGUCGGCCAACCAGGAGCUCGCCAAAGCCAAUCAGUAUCAGAGGCGACUGAGGAAGAGAAAGUGUUACCUGCUGUUGGCCGGAGCCAUCGUCCUCGCCAUCCUCAUCCUCAUUAUUGCUGUUUCAGCUAGAAAAUGAGACUGCCCUCUGUGGUAGCUGCUGUCACGAUGCCCCCCCGACCCACUCAGCUGGUUUCCAGUAUGAGACCAGCAUCUCUGCCCCAUCCUCUCCUGCUCUGCUGAGGCUGCACGUCAGACGGGAUGAAGGCCUUCUACAGACUCCAACAAACCUCAUGAUUUCUGCUUUCUCUGCUGUCCCAUUCUGUCUUCUUUCAUGUCUUUAGAGCGAUUUUACACGUCAGAGGAAAAACAAAAAACAGUCCAGUCUACCUGAUGUUUGUU